GACGAACGCUGGCGGCGUGCCUAAUACAUGCAAGUAGAACGCUGAAGCUUGGUGCUUGCACCGAGCGGAUGAGUUGCGAACGGGUGAGUAACGCGUAGGUAACCUGCCUGGUAGCGGGGGAUAACUAUUGGAAACGAUAGCUAAUACCGCAUAAGAGUAGAUGUUGCAUGACAUUUGCUUAAAAGGUGCAAUUGCAUCACUACCAGAUGGACCUGCGUUGUAUUAGCUAGUUGGUGAGGUAACGGCUCACCAAGGCAACGAUACAUAGCCGACCUGAGAGGGUGAUCGGCCACACUGGGACUGAGACACGGCCCAGACUCCUACGGGAGGCAGCAGUAGGGAAUCUUCGGCAAUGGACGGAAGUCUGACCGAGCAACGCCGCGUGAGGGAAGAAGGUUUUCGGAUCGUAAAGCUCUGUUGCAAGAGAAGAACGAGUGUGAGAGUGGAAAGUUCACACUGUGACGGUAUCUUACCAGAAAGGGACGGCUAACUACGUG
rnacentral:rRNA from 1 species